rnacentral:rRNA from 1 species
UAAGGAAUAUUGGUCAAUGGACGCAAGUCUGAACCAGCCAUGCCGCGUGAAGGAUGAAGGUCCUCUGGAUUGUAAACUUCUUUUAUCUGGGACGAAAACGGGAUUUUUAUCUCAAUUGACGGUACCAGAGGAAUAAGCACCGGCUAACUCCGUGCCAGCAGCCGCGGUAAUACGGAGGGUGCGAGCGUUAUCCGGAUUUACUGGGUGUAAAGGGUGCGUAGGUGGGCUUAUAAGUCAGUGGUGAAAUCUCCGAGCUUAACUUGGAAACUGCCGGUGAUACUAUAGGUCUUGAAUUAUCUGGAGGUAAGCGGAAUAUGUCAUGUAGCAGUGAAAUGCUUAGAUAUGACAUAGAACACCAAUUGCGAAGGCAGCUUACUACAUAUAAAUUGACGCUGAGGCACGAAAGCGUGGGGAUCAAACA